AGUGAACGCUGGCGGUAGGCCUAACACAUGCAAGUCGAACGGCAGCACAGUAAUAGCUUGCUCUUACGGGUGGCGAGUGGCGGACGGGUGAGGAAUACAUCGGAAUCUACUUUUUCGUGUGGGUUCACGUAGGUAAACUUACGCUAAUACCGCAUACGACCUACGGUUGAAAGCAGUGGAUCUUCGGACCUUGCGCGAUUGAAUGAGCCGCUGUCGGUUUAGCUAGUUGGCGGGGUAAAGGCCCACCAAGUCGACGAUCCGUAGCUGGUCUGAGAGGAUGAUAAGCCACACUGGAACGGAGACAGGGUCAAGACUCCUAAGGGAGGCAGCAGUGGGGAAUAUUGGACAAUGGGCGCAAGCAUGAUACAGCCAUAGCGCGUGGGUGAAGAAGGCGUUCGGGUUGUAAAGACCUUUUGUGGGGAAAGAAAAGCAGCAGGUUAAUACCCAGCUGUUCUGACGGUACCGAAAGAAUAAGCACCGGCUAACUUCGUG
rnacentral:rRNA from 1 species